CCAACGUUCAAUCACACCGCCUUCUGUUGUGUGGGCCGGAGCCCCAGUCUCCUGUGAUCGUCGUCGUGUCCAGUAGAUUCACUGCAGAGAAAGAACAAAACAACAGAGGAAAACAGAAGUGAAGCCCAAAUCUCUCUCUCUCUGCAUCCCACCUCCACCUUCAUGGACAGCUUUUUGUUUGUGUUGCUUUAACCUAAUUGUAACCCAGUGACAGCGAGCUAAAAAACAGCUUCACAAAAGAAGUCACAAGACAGAUGGAUUGAAACAAGCCUUCUCUUCAGAGUACUGACUGACCUUCAUGACACCUUGAUGAGAACUAGCUCUAAAGGCAGAGGGUCCUGUAGCUCCAACAAAACAUUCUGCAGCAGUGAAGAGGUUAAAGCCUUCGUUUGGCAGUGGAGGCGGGUGGAGGGACCAAGUGCUUCUCCUCGAGGACU